rnacentral:rRNA from 1 species
GACGAACGCUGGCGGCGUGCUUAACACAUGCAAGUCGAACGGAAAGGCCCUGCUUGCAGGGUACUCGAGUGGCGAACGGGUGAGUAACACGUGGGUGAUCUGCCCUGCACUUCGGGAUAAGCCUGGGAAACUGGGUCUAAUACCGGAUAGGAGCCAUUUUUAGUUUGAUGGUUGGAAAGUUUUUUCGGUGUAGGAUGAGCUCGCGGCCUAUCAGCUUGUUGGUGGGGUAAUGGCCUACCAAGGCGGCGACGGGUAGCCGGCCUGAGAGGGUGGACGGCCACAUUGGGACUGAGAUACGGCCCAGACUCCUACGGGAGGCAGCAGUGGGGAAUAUUGCACAAUGGGCGCAAGCCUGAUGCAGCGACGCCGCGUGGGGGAUGACGGCCUUCGGGUUGUAAACUCCUUUCGCUAGGGACGAAGCUUUUUGUGACGGUACCUAGAUAAGAAGCACCGGCUAACUACGUG